rnacentral:misc_RNA from 1 species
AGUUCGAUCAUGGCUCAGAUUGAACGCUGGCGGGAUGCUUUACACAUGCAAGUCGAACGGCAGCACGGACUUCGGUCUGGUGGCGAGUGGCGAACGGGUGAGUAAUGUAUCGGAACGUGCCUAGUAGCGGGGGAUAACUACGCGAAAGCGUAGCUAAUACCGCAUACGCCCUUCGGGGGAAAGCGGGGACCUUCGGCCUCGCACUAUUAGAGCGGCCGAUAUCGGAUUAGCUAGUUGGUGGGGUAACGGCUCACCAAGGCGACGAUCCGUAGCUGGUUUGAGAGGACGACCAGCCACACUGGGAC